GAGUUUGAUCGUGGCUCAGAUUGAACGCUGGCGGCAUGCUUUACACAUGCAAGUCGAACGGUAACGCGGGGGCAACCCUGGCGACGAGUGGCGAACGGGUGAGUAAUACAUCGGAACGUGUCCUGGAGUGGGGGAUAGCUCGGCGAAAGCCGGAUUAAUACCGCAUACGCUCUGAGGAGGAAAGCGGGGGACCUUCGGGCCUCGCGCUGCGGGAGCGGCCGAUGUCGGAUUAGCUAGUUGGUGGGGUAAAGGCCUACCAAGGCGACGAUCCGUAGCUGGUCUGAGAGGAUGAUCAGCCACACUGGGACUGAGACACGGCCCAGACUCCUACGGGAGGCAGCAGUGGGGAAUUUUGGACAAUGGGGGCAACCCUGAUCCAGCCAUGCCGCGUGAGUGAAGAAGGCCUUC
rnacentral:rRNA from 1 species